GUGCCAGCAGCCGCGGUAAUACGGAGGGUGCAAGCGUUAUCCGGAUUCACUGGGUUUAAAGGGUGCGUAGGUGGGUUGGUAAGUCCGUGGUGAAAUCCCCAAGCUUAACUUGGGAACUGCCGUGGAUACUAUCAAUCUUGAAUAUCGUUGAGGUAAGCGGAAUAUGUCAUGUAGCGGUGAAAUGCUUAGAUAUGACAUAGAACACCGAUAGCGGAGGCAGCUUACUAAGCGAUCAUUGACACUGAGGCACGAAAGCGUGGGGAGCAAACAGGAUUAGAUACCCUCGUAGUCC
rnacentral:rRNA from 1 species